rnacentral:miRNA from 1 species
AACAUAAAAAAUUAAUUGGCCAGGGACUGGGGAUGUAACUCAGUGGUAGAAUGAUGACCCAGCAUGUGCAAGGCCCUGAUUUCAGCCCCCCAGUACUGGGGGACAAAACGCUUAAU